rnacentral:misc_RNA from 1 species
UUGAUUCAUUUUCGAAACGCCCGCUAAGGGGCGCCGAGAAGUUCUCAGAAGUAAAAAACCCGCGAGGGGGCAUACAAAAAGAGUUUUGGUUGUUUUUUCCUCCGGCGGGCGCCUUGGUCCGGGGCUGCGACGCGCCCGGGGCAGAGAUCCCGCCGAGGCAACAGUUUGGUAACGUUCACAUUGGGUUUGGGAGUUGUAAACUCGGUAAUGAUCCCUCCGCUGGUUCACCAACGGAGA